AAACGUCUGCCUUGUUCGAGUCAGGUUGGCUUUUAAAUCCGAACAUGAAUAUAAACGGGAACCCGGCUUCCUGCAGGGAUUGCAGACCUCCCGGCCUAUGGGCUGGACGAAGGGAGCGUGAAAUGUGGGAGAGGGUACCCACCUGCUGAAAAGCGGGUUUAUAUUUGCCAAACGACGGCAAGGCGGGUUAUUU
rnacentral:other from 1 species